AACGAACGCUGGCGGCAGGCCUAACACAUGCAAGUCGAACGCCCUAGCAAUAGGGAGUGGCAGACGGGUGAGUAACACGUGGGAACCUUCCCUAUAGUACGGAAUAUACCAGGGAAACUUGGAGCAAUACCGUAUACGCCCGAGAGGGGAAAGAUUUAUCGCUAUAGGAUGGGCCCGCGUAGGAUUAGCUAGUUGGUGAGGUAAUGGCUCACCAAGGCGACGAUCCUUAGCUGGUUUGAGAGAACGACCAGCCACACUGGGACUGAGACACGGCCCAGACUCCUACGGGAGGCAGCAGUGGGGAAUAUUGGACAAUGGGCGCAAGCCUGAUCCAGCCAUGCCGCGUGAGUGAUGAAGGCCUUAGGGUUGUAAAGCUCCUUUGCCGGGGACGAUAAUGACGGUACCCGGAGAAUAAGUCCCGGCUAACUUCGUGCCAGCCGCCGCGGUAAC
rnacentral:rRNA from 1 species